rnacentral:lncRNA from 10 species
GAGCACGUCAGGGGUGGGGGGCGCAGGUCAAGCUUUCACCAGUUUUUAAUUCUUUGAUGGGGUAAAUUUGAGCAAUUUUCUCGACUUGUCGACAUUCGUUAUUAACUGAGCAGGAAUCAGGAGAGGAACCCGGUCCUCUCCACACAGCCCAGCAGAGAGCCUACGACUAGAUUUGCAUCUUUACGUCCUGCGCGGAGGCUGCUACACACAUGCAGAAGUCAUGCUGGUGGCCUGGACAGUGAAGGGAGAGAAGUGGAUUUGGGAGACAUUUAGGAGGAACAGUAAGAGGACCUUGUGCAUGAAUAAUUUGUUUCCACACUACAGAGUGG